rnacentral:rRNA from 1 species
GACAGAGGUUGCAAACGUUGUUCGGAAUCACUGGGCAUAAAGCGCACGUAGGCGGCUGACUAAGUCAGAUGUGAAAUCCCCCGGCUCAACCGGGGAACUGCGUCUGAUACUGGUCGGCUUGAGAACGGUAGGGGUGAGCGGAACUCCAGGUGGAGCGGUGAAAUGCGUAGAUAUCUGGAGGAACACCGGUGGCGAAAGCGGCUCACUGGACCGUCACUGACGCUGAGGUGCGAAAGCUAGGGUAGCAAACGGG